GGGGAAUUUUCCGCAAUGGGCGAAAGCCUGACGGAGCAAUACCGCGUGAGGGAGGAAGGCUCUUGGGUUGUAAACCUCUUUUCUACAGGGAAUAAGAANCUGAAGGUACCUGAGGAAUCAGCAUCGGCUAACUCCGUGCCAGCAGCCGCGGUAAUACGGAGGAUGCAAGCGUUAUCCGGAAUGAUUGGGCGUAAAGCGUCCGCAGGUGGUUUAUCAAGUCUGCUGUCAAAGAGUUUGGCUCAACCAAAUAAAGGCAGUGGAAACUGACAGACUGGAGUGCGGUAAGGGCAGAGGGAAUUCCUGGUGUAGCGGUGAAAUGCGUAGAGAUCAGGAAGAACACCGGUGGCGAAAGCGCUCUGCUGGGCCGUAACUGACACUGAGGGACGAAAGCUAGGGGAGCGAAUGGGAUUAGAUACCCCAGUAGUC
rnacentral:rRNA from 1 species